ensembl:lncRNA
GUUUGACGUUUAAUAGGUAGUGAGGUAGAAAGAUUAAUAGGUAGUGAGUUUAAUAAAUAGUGAGGUAGCGAGUUUAAUUGAUAGUGAGGUAGCGAGUUUAAUAGAUAGUUAUGUAGCGAGUUUAAUGGGUAGUGAGGUAGCGAGUUUAAUUGAUAGUGAGGUAGUGAGUUUAAUAGGUAGUGAGGUACCGAGUUUAAUUGGUAGUAAGGUAGCAAGUUUAAUAGAUAGUGAGGUAGCGAGUUUAAUAAUUAGUGAGGUAGCGAGUUUAAUAGAUAGUGAGGUAGUGAGUUUAAUUGAUAUUGAGGUAGCGAGUUUAAUAGAUAGUUAGGUAGCGAAUUUAAUAAUUAGUGAGGUAGCGAGUUUAAUAUGUAGUGAGGUAGCGAGUUUAAUAAUUAGUUAGGUAGCGAGUUUAAUAGGUAUUGAGGUAGUGACUAAUGUUAGUCUAUUUACUGUUUACACAGUGGAUUGACAACUUUCCUGUGAUUCAGCUGCCUCAUGCCUUCACUGAAAUUGUACCAAAUAUGUUGUGUCAUAAUUUG